GGCCAAGUUUUUAAGGGCGCACGGUGGAUGCCUUGGCACCAGGAACCGAUGAAGGACGUGGGAGGCCGCGAUAGGCCCCGGGGAGUCGUCAACCAGGCUUUGAUCCGGGGGUGUCCGAAUGGGGAAACCCGGCAGUCGUCAUGGGCUGUCACCCUUGCCUGAACACAUAGGGCAAGUGGAGGGAACGCGGGGAAGUGAAACAUCUCAGUACCCGCAGGAAGAGAAAACAACCGUGAUUCCGGGAGUAGUGGCGAGCGAAACUGGAUGAGGCCAAACCUAUGGCGUGUGAGACCCGGCAGGGGUUGCGUCGUGGGGGUUGUGGGAUCUCUUUUUCACGGUCUGCCGGCCGUGGGACGAGUCAGAAACCGUAUGGAUAGGCGAAGGACAUGCGAAAGGUCCGGCGUAGAGGGUAAGACCCCCGUAGCUGAAAUCUGUACGGCUCGUUGGAGAGACACCCAAGUAGCACGGGGCCCGAGAAAUCCCGUGUGAAUCUGGCGGGACCACCCGCUAAGCCUAAAUAUUCCCUGGUGACCGAUAGCGGAUAGUACCGUGAGGGAAUGGUGAAAAGUACCCCGGGAGGGGAGUGAAAUAGUACCUGAAACCGUGUGCCUACAAGCCGUGGGAGCGUCGGAUGGAAGCUUGCUUUCAUCUCGUGACUGCGUGCCUUUUGAAGAAUGAGCCUGCGAGUUUGCGGUGUGUUGCGAGGUUAACCCGGGUGGGGUAGCCGUAGCGAAAGCGAGUCCGAACAGGGCGGUGUAGUAGCGCGCUCAAGACCCGAAGCGGAGUGAUCUAGCCAUGGGCAGGUUGAAGCGGAGGUAAGACUUCGUGGAGGACCGAACCCACCAGGGUUGAAAACCUGGGGGAUGACCUGUGGUUAGGGGUGAAAGGCCAAUCAAACUCCGUGAUAGCUGGUUCUCCCCGAAAUGCAUUUAGGUGCAGCGUCGUGUGUUUCUUGCCGGAGGUAGAGCACUGGAUAGGCGAUGGGCCCUACCGGGUUACUGACCUUAGCCAAACUCCGAAUGCCGGUAAGUGAGAGCGCGGCAGUGAGACUGUGGGGGAUAAGCUCCAUGGUCGAGAGGGAAACAGCCCAGAGCAUCGACUAAGGCCCCUAAGCGUACGCUAAGUGGGAAAGGAUGUGGAGUCGCAGAGACAACCAGGAGGUUGGCUUAGAAGCAGCCACCCUUGAAAGAGUGCGUAAUAGCUCACUGGUCUAGUGAUUCCGCGCCGACAAUGUAGCGGGGCUCAAGCGUACCGCCGAAGUCGUGUCAUUCCAGUGUGAG
rnacentral:ncRNA from 1 species